UCUCCCAUGUGCAAGCUCCGGUGAUGGUGAGAAACAGCAAUAAUCGCGAUUUUUCUUUUACAAUGUUCUGGGGAUUGAACCCAAGGCCUGAUGCACACUUAGCAAGCAUUCCACCACUGAGCUACAGCAUCCAUUCAGAGCCCUAAAUUCUUUUCUGGUGACUUGCAACCCUUUCUCUCAUCCAUUAGUCAUAAAUGCGUGUGUUUCCCCGAAUAAAGAGGAACAUUUCCAAAGCAA